GGGGGUGUAGCUCAUUUGGGAGAGCGCUUGAAUGGCAUUCAAGAGGUAGUGGGUUCGAUCCCCAUCAUCUCCACCA
rnacentral:tRNA from 1 species